rnacentral:rRNA from 1 species
GACGUAGGUGGCGAACGUUAUCCGGAAUUAUUGGGCGUAAAGGAUGCGUAGAUGGUGUAGUAAGUUAUCGGUGGUAAAUCGAGGCUCAACCUCGUGGAAGUCGGUAAUACUGCUAUGCUAGAGGAUAGGAGAGGUUAACGGAACUCCCUGUGGAGCGGUGAAAUGCGUAGAUAUAGGGAAGAACACCAAGCAGGCGAAGGCAGUUAACUAUUCUAUUCCUGACAUUGAGGCAUGAAAGCGUGGGGAGCAAAACGG